rnacentral:lncRNA from 1 species
UGAAACUUAAAAUGGCCAUCAGAGGUUGUUUGAGAAACUUCAUCAUCAACCUGGGACAUACAUUUAUGUUUCCAUCUUCUUUCUGCAAAUUCCAGCUCCUCCCUAAUUGUGGACUGGAGGAACUAAUUACCCUGAGACAAGGAUUUGGAGUGCUGUGGGGGGUUUUCCACCGCCUUGAAUGAGAGCAGGAUUGAACACUUUGCGACAGAUUAAAAAGGCUAUGUACUCAUUUGAACUAAAAUUACCCAGCUGCCAGCCUGCUUGAUAGCAAUUACAUCUAAAGAGAGA